CGCCUAUCAUCCCCAACCUCCCUCCAUCCCAGCCAGCAGCCGCUCGUGGCCGCCAUUGCCGCCCACGAUGCCGCCGUUUUCGCGUCCUCCCGUUCACGCGCUCGCAUCCGAACCGAGAGCAACCGCAUCCCCUCCACCUCCUCCACUCUCCUCCCCCACUUCCCCCAAAAUCCGGCGCCGGUUUGCUCCGCCACUCGCCCACGUCGCCGGCGCCUCUUCCCCCUUCAAAUCCGCCUCUCCCGGCCACGUUCUCCCCCUCCGGGACCUAUAUAAACGACUCACGUGCCUCCCCUCAUCCGUUUUCCCCUCUCCCCGAGCACCCCGCGCCUCCUAGCCACCUCCCCACCGUGCUCCCUCUCUCCGCCGCUCCCCGGCGAACUCCAGCCGCCCGCCACCGCUGUUCCUGUCGCAGCCGCGCUGCGCCACCGCCACCAAAAGCUGCGCCGCGUAGUGCCACGCCUCGGACGCCGCUCCACCCCUUCAUUCGGUAGCCCAAGCACUGCUUCCAUCGUCGACCCCGAGCUCCACCACCGCCGGUGCCCUCCAGCCGCGCGCUACAGCCGCUCCCGCCGCUGCCGUGCUGCGCCGCAUCCACCGCCGGCUUCGACGCCACAAGGGCAAGCCUGGCCGCCGCCUCAUCCCUCCCAUUCACCACCGGAACCACCUCCCACCGCGGAGCCGAGCUACCUCCGCUUCCACAGCGCUCCAGCCGCUCCUUGCCGGUGAGGGGGACCUCACCCGGCCGUGCUGCUGCCUCUGGCGCGUUCGCAGUGCUCGCCCUCACCUCGUCCGCUGCUCGGUCGUCGUCUUCCGCCGCUCCAACUCAUCCUCUAAGUUCGCCGGUCAAGGGCGACCUCGUCCGCCCUCCGUCCUCGCCAGCCGCCAUCGGGCAAUCCUCGUCGCCGUCAUCUUCCUCCGCGUCGGCCGCCGCUUUCGAAUCCGUCGUUUCGGAAGUCCGCGGUCGCGAGGAAAAGAGUUCAGAAGAUUGUUUUGAAGAAGAAAG